rnacentral:rRNA from 1 species
CCUACGGGUGGCAGCAGUGAGGAAUAUUGGUCAAUGGACGAGAGUCUGAACCAGCCAAGUAGCGUGAAGGAUGACUGCCCUAUGGGUUGUAAACUUCUUUUAUAAAGGAAUAAAACGAGGCACGCGUGCCUUUUUGCAUGUAUUUUAUGAAUAAGGAUCGGCUAACUCCGUGCCAGCAGCCGCGGUAAUACGGAGGAUCCGAGCGUUAUCCGGAUUUAUUGGGUUUAAAGGGAGCGUAGAUGGGUUGUUAAGUCAGUUGUGAAAGUUUGCGGCUCAACCGUAAAAUUGCAAUUGAUACUGGCAGUCUUGAGUGCAGUUGAGGUAGGCGGAAUUCGUGGUGUAGCGGUGAAAUGCUUAGAUAUCACAAAGAACCCCGAUUGCGAAGGCAGCUUACUAAGCUGUGACUGACAUUGAUGCUCGAAAGUGUGGGGAUCAAACAGGAUUAGAUACCCCAGUAGUC